GCGCACUGUCUCGCUGGCCGAAUCGGCGGUACGGCUAGCGAAGAAGGUUGAGGACUACAUUUCCCAUCGUCCCUUCAGGCGCACCCCCAGCCAUGGACAUGGAGGUGGAUGUAGGCUCUGUGAUCUCGGGCCUGUCCGGCGGGGAUGGGGCGGGCCUGGGGCCCGGCGAGGAGGAGCUAGAGGUCGGGGGCGCCCCUGGCUGCUCUGGGGCCGGCUCCCUCCAGUUCGAUUUUGAGAGGAGCCGCUCUGAAUCCAGCGGGGAGGAAGAGGAGGAGGAGCUGGAGGAAGAGGAGUUGGAGGGCGGCCCCGGGGCCCGCUUUGGGGCCUGCCAAGAGGCGGAGGGGGAGCUGGACUCGGACGCUGAGCGUGAGCGCAUGAUAAACCUGUCUGAGUUGACGCCUUACAUCUUGUGUUCCAUCUGCAAAGGUUAUUUUAUAGAUGCCACGACCAUUACAGAGUGUCUUCAUACAUUCUGUAAAAGCUGCAUAGUAAGACAUUUUUACUACAGUAACAGAUGUCCAAAAUGCAACAUUGUUGUACAUCAGACGCAACCUCUUUAUAAUAUCAGGUUGGAUCGACAGUUACAAGACAUAGUGUAUAAAUUGGUUGUCAGUCUGGAGGAGAGAGAGAAAAAGCAGAUGCAUGAUUUCUAUAAAGAAAGAGGUCUAGAAGUACCCAAACCUGCUGUCCCACAGCCAGUCCCUGUGAGCAGAGGAAGACCUCGGAAAGUCUUGGGAUCAGUGUUUCGAAUCCCACCAGAACUUGACGUCUCACUGCUUUUGGAGUUCAUUGGAGCUAAUGAAGGCGCAGGGAAUUUUAAGCCAUUGGAAAAGAAGUUUGUACGAGUUUCAGGAGAAGCAACCAUUGGCCACGUGGAAAAAUUCCUGCGAAGAAAAAUGGAUCUUGACCCGGCUUGUCAGCACUGAGUCUUUAUUCACGCUGCUUGCUGUCCCGUGGUGGCAGUGAAGAUUGGAUAUAAAUUAUUCAUCAUCCUGCAGAAACAGCCUAGUUACAUUUACUGGUUUCCUCUCAGUAAGAAUGUAUGUAGCUUCCCAUUAUAGAUAGUGCUGUUUGGGUAUUCUAAGUAAAUAACAUUUUUCUUAGACGCGAAGUGAGAGAGAAGCCACAAUUCAAUUCAGAAAUGGGUGGUGCUUUUUUUUUAUAAUUUUUUUUUUAAAGGCCUCAUAUUUGGGUCCUAAUAUUCUGAAGUGCUGGGCACCCACAGCUCCAAUGAAAGAUGCAGGUGCUCAGCUUUGAAAAUCAGGCCGAUGCUGUUUUACAGACUUGCUUCUAAUUCUGCCAAUCUAAAAUUCUUCUUGUAGAGUUUAAUAUGUUGUUUUUCCAUUUCCUGUCUCCCAAACUGGGUUCUGUGUUAUCCGUUGUAAAAUAGAUGCUGUGUUUCACCCCAGAGUUAGUUGAAUUUCCCUAGUGAAUACACUGAUUUCUGUAUACGGUGUUACCUAACUGUUUAUCAACUGGACUCCUGUAGCUGCUGUGCGAUAACUAAAGCACUUGAAAGGACUGACAAAAUAACACCUUUGCAUGGUGUGCCACAGAGCCUGAUAGCUGUGUGAGCUAUUUGAGUGCCUAACAUUUUGUUUGUCCGUAUGCCUGCUGCUCUAUCAUUAACUGAUUGCUUUGGGAUAUCUAGGGUUGUGUCACCUCAUUGUCUUGACAAGCCGUGUCAAACACAGCUUCCCACUUUAACUGCAGUGGGUCAGUAGAGAUGAACGGUUAUUUCUAAUGAAGUGUGCUCAGCACUCAUCAUAAUGGUCUGAGAUGAGUUAGAAUGGCCAAACUCUCUUGAAAUAUGACUUGAACUGCAUUGUCCCUGUUCACCCAGACAGGACAACAGAGUUCAUCAUCAUUUGAAGCAUGACGCUACAGGAAGCUGAUGCUGAUACCCAUUCUCAGAUAGGCACACACAAUUUUAGCACUAAGUGUGAAAGAUAGUGUGUGAUAUCAAAUUCUAUCCUUGGUCAUCCACCUUUAGUAAUGUAGCUGAGUAAACAACUUCCCCAUCCUGCUAUCAGGAGCAAGAGGGAUGUGUUCAUUCUGUUCUCCUGUAAGAAAACCAGAGACUUAACAUUUUAUGCAGCCAACUGUCAAUUAAUGUUGACAAGUGCAUUGUAAGAGCUUUGAAAGUCUUCUUAUGCUGCUCUCAUGCUGUGAAAAUGUAGGAUGAUUGCACUGUUUGCGUACUGGCAUGGUGACCCCUGGAUCUUUGAAAUGACAGUCUGGCUAUUGGAAUAUUUUCUGCUAAGAGCAGCCAAAAAAUACCUUGCCAAGAGAUUUAGAAAAAAAUCUAUAUAGGGGUAUAAUGAGCUAAACAGCACAAUGGCCAGUUUUUCCACACUGUGAGGGGCAGGUGCAUUGCUCUGACUCUAACCCAAGCCUAUUUGCAGUGUGGAAGCGUUACUUGUGUUUCAUUGAAGGACUUGUCAUUCUUUGAGCAUUUUAGUGUACAGUAACGCCUCACUUGAUGUUGUAGUCAUGUUCCUGAAAAAUGCUACUUUAAGCGAAACGAUGUUAAGUAAAUCCAAUUUCCCCAUAUAAAUAAUGUAAGUCGGGCGGGGGUGGGGGUUAGGUUCCAGGGAAAUUUUUUUCGCCAGACAAAAGACUAUAUUUUGUAUAUGUGUGUGCGUAUAUAUGUAUGCACAAAUACACAGUAUAAGUUUUAAACAAACAAUUUAAUACUGGUACACAGUGAUGAUGAUUAUGAAGCUUGGUUGAGGUGGAGGAGUCAGAGGGUGGGAUAUUUCCCAGGGGAUGCCUUACUGCUAAAUGAUGAACUAGCACUCGGCUAAGCCCUCAAGGGUUAAUGUAGCCUCACACUCUACAAGGCAGCACGAAUGGAGGGAGGAGACAUCUCAUGGCAGAAAGAGACAGAGAGACACUGUGUGUGUGUGUGUGUGAAAGCGAAAGAAAGGGAGGGAGGGAGGGAGAGACAGAGACAUACAUGAUGUGUGAGAGACGCAAGCAUUGCCCCUUUAAGUAGUCUGACCCCACUCUAAGUACACUGCCACUCCAAAUACACGGCUCUGUGGAGACGGGGGGCAGGAGUGGAGAGCAGAAACAGGGGGAGGGGGACACCCUGACAUUAAAACCCCUCUUCCCUCCCCCCCCCCCCCCCCCCCCCACAGCAAGCAGGAGGCUCCCGGAAGCAGCUCCAAGGCAGAGAGCAGGAGCAGCACAUGGCAGUGUGGGGAGGGACAGCUGAACUGCCCGGCAACUGAUAGCCUGCUGGGCCAGCUGCCACACAGGUAACUUAGGGGAGCUGAUGGAGGGCUGCCGGUCCACCCUGGUUUUAAGCCCCCAUCAGCUAGCUCCUAUGGGCUGCUCUUCCUGCAAGCAGUGGACAAAGCAGGUGAUUGCCAAACAAUGUUAUAAGGGAGCAUUGCACAACUUUAAACAAGCACGUUCUCUAAUUGAUCAGCAAUGAAACAAUGUUAACAGGACAAUGUUAAGUGAGGAGUUACUGUAUUUGUUUCUGCCAUUCUGUUCUGAAACACGUGAGGAAAAUACUAUGUGUUCACUGCUCACGACUGUAAUCUCUUGCAUUCAGAUAUUUGCCUACAUUUACUUGAGAUGCUGCCAUGCAUCCAGUAUAUUGUAACUGCAAUAUAAAGAAGUGGUGUGGCUAUACCCUUGUUCAUUUAGUCCCUCCUUGCUGUUCUAUGGAUCUUUCAGUAAAGGCAGCUGCAGUAACCAUCUGACCAGCAGAAAUAUGUACCAGGGACAAUACCUUAUGACUUUAUAGCCCUGGGAUUAGGAGUCUCUGGGGACCUUAAUUUGGUGUCGUUUUAUGGAAACUCACUAAGAUGUCACUACAGCAACAUGAUAAUCUUGCUUUUGUCUUAAUGAAUUAUGUUCACAGGGUUGUGGGUUUUACUGUUGUUUUUUUAAGUGCUAGUGGUAUGACUUUUUUUUUAAGUAAUUCUUCUCUUUCAAAGCACAAACACUGCUUCACUUAGAAAAGUAAUUAAACAAAAUCAUGGCUCUAGAGUUAAACUUUCAAAGGGACUGGAGGUCCGUACUCUUGGUUUCUAUUCUAUUCCCAGUUCUGCUACUCUCUCUGUGAUAUUCAGCAAGUCACUUCACCUUCAUGCCUCAGCUUCUCCAGCUGCACUUUUGACACCAUGUAAAGAUCCCGUUCCGUACCUUUAUCUAAAAUAAUGCUGCUGUCAUCAGAAUUUCUCUAUGAUUUGACAAAGAUUCAUCUUGGUAUCCUCGUUUUUAAAGACGCGAAAGUUGAUGCACAGGCGAUGAAGUGACUUGUUCAGCAUAAUACAUCAAGUUAACAGCAGUUUUGGGAACUGAAAUUUGAGUCCUGACUCUGUCCUUUCCUUUAUCUGUCUAACCGUGUUCUGUCUCACUCACACAGCAUUACAAAAUAUCCUAGAGAGUCCAUUUUCAGUUAAACAGAAAAAAGGUGUUAAAAUAAGACUUGACUUGAUGGCUUGGAGAUGGUGAAGAGUUCCAGAUGAAUGAGGUUCCUUAAUUAAAAGUCUGAAUACCCUUUUGCAACAUGCACAUUCACCUGCGUGUGGAAAAUCAUGGAGAAGAGAGCAAGGGAAGACCAAGACUAGAGCUUUGGAAGCAAUUUCUAAGCCAGUAGAUGCAAACUGAAUCUGUGGAGAACUUUGGAAAACCAGGAGGGCAAUUUUGAAAUGGAGGCAAUGAUAGUAAGCCAUUGAAAAUGACACAGAUUGGCUAGGGGUGAUGCACUCCUGUUUCAAAAAAUGAAAAUGUAGUGAAAACACAAGGAGAGUCAUCCUGAGGUUGAUUGCUUGGAGCAAAAAGGUGUUUAAUUCUAAUACUGUGGAUGAGUGGGAGAGAAAGAAAUGGUUCACGCCCUUCACUAGAGCAUCUGCAGUUUUCAGACAGCAGUUCUGCUUCAUGUUGUACGUAGGAUAAGCCUUGCUUGGUGGCUGGUCUGAAUUCUCUCGUUGAGAGGAAACAUCUUGUGAUUUUGUGGAAAUAUUAAUUACAUUUGGGGCAGGCUCUCUGCAUCCUCAUGUGGGGACAGAACAAGGUCAUGUGCUAAGUCUUCUCUGCUAUUUUAGCCAAUGUCAUUUACCAAGGUAUUGGAGAACGUUGUGCCAUACCUGUGCUCGAAUAUAUUUCCUUGCUGUCUGAUGAAGGUCAGCGGGAAAGUAAGAGGUCCCUUGUUGGUAGACAAAUGGCAGUCUUGCUUUAUUACUUUGAAGGAAACAUUUAGUGUAGCCUUUUCAUAAGAAACCAUUGCUUGACGUUCAUCUGGUCAAAUAUCAACUGGUAUCCAGUCUUCCAUUUUUGAAUAAUGUUGUGGCAAGAUAGCUCUUGCACUCUUUAGAUGCUUCUAAACUCCUUGGCUUUUCUGUACAAGAGUUGUUGGUCUGGAGGGGAGGUUAGACCCACUGUAUGUAUGUUUGGGUUUUUGGUUUUAUUUUUUCCUAUGUCAGAUCCUUUCUACCCAAGUAGAAAAUCAGACGUUUCUAAUCUUUGUGGUUACUGAAAGCGUGUGUAGUGAGGCAGCGUGGCUCCCCUCCACCCCGGAGGAGGCAGAGCCCAGCCAGAGGCCAGAGUGGGUGGAGCUAGAGAGCUCUGAGCCUGCCCCUCCAAGGGUCAGGCGGCAACCCGGAACUAUAAAGGCUGGACCUCAGAGCUCAGUAGGAGCCCAGCCGCCGGAGAGAGCAGACAUCCCUAGGGGAGCUCCGGACUGGAAAGCUCCUGUGGCCCAAGGAGGCUGCCCAGGCUGGCCGGAGCUACCCCGCGCCCGCUACCCGGAGGAGCUGCCGGACCUGCCUGCCAACCAACGUCUGCCGUGAUGAACCCAUGCUCCAGGACCCUGUGGAGGCCGACGCCAGGACCCAGGUAGGGACCGAGGGGGAGUGUGGAAGUGGCCCAGGGGCAGCCGACUCCAGUCUGGCUGCAGCAUUACCAGAGCCUAUGUCAGUGUGUUGCAACCAGGAUCCCCACUGACUAAGCAGCGGAUCCUCAACCGCUGCUAGGGCCCCGGGCUGGGACGCAGUGGAGUGGGAGGGCCUGCGUCCCCCCUGCCACCCCAUUCCUGGGUGGCAGACUCCCCCUCUCCCUGAGGAGGCCAAAGCCUAUCAUUACUGCUCAGCCCUGCCUGAGGGCCUGAGCAUCCUGACUCAGUGGUUGUUGCCCCGCCGGAGCCAGGGCCAGACGCAACCACAUUGCAACCAACUACUGCAAGGGCUACUGAGGGAGACCCCCUGGCCGGACUAGUUCCCCGGACCCAUCCGGGUGUAGUGAGCCAGCGUGGCUGCCCUCUGCCCUGGAGAGAGUUGAGCCUCGGUGAACUCGUGUACAUCAUGUAAUAACUUUCUGUAAUAUUCUGAAUGCCCCAAAUCCAUAGUGACUCUGGAAUGCAUUCAGACAUAAAUGAAAAUAGUUCCAUAAGGGAGCAGAGGAGAGUUAAGUGUUUUGGACAAAGGAAGCAGAGUAUACAAUGUAUUGUUCAAAUGCAAAAAAUAAAUCUGAAAACUGUCCCUAACUAGUGUGGCACACAAGGGGCAUAAACGUCGAGCUGUCAUCUUCUUGGUACAGUAUUCAGAACUGAAGCUGGCAGUCUGUUGUUAAAGAUUCCUAGAGAGAGGGACCAGAUGUGCCAAUGAAGAUCAAUAGACUGAUGGAUCAUGUCUUACUUUAGUUUUCCAUGAUGGAUAAUAAAACACACAUAGUAAAACUAAUAGGCUGAAUAUAAAUCAGUGCAGACAGAUGUCUUUGGGGAAAUAAGAUAUAAAGCCACGUGAGAGAGAUUUUAAACAUACAAAUAUGCAAGAGUGGCAUAACUGUUUUUUAUUGCAGCAAAGAAUCCUGUGGCACCUUAUAGACUAACAGACGUUUUGGAGCAUGAGCUUUCUGGGUGAAUACGCACUUCGUCAGAUACCCACGAAAGCUCAUGCUCCAAAACGUCUGUUAGUCUAUAAGGUGCCACAGGAUUCUUUGCUGCUUUUACAGAUCCAGACUAACAUGGCUACCCCUCUGAUACUUGUUUUUUAUUGGUUUGCUAUCUAAAAUUUUGGCAGUGGAUUGAGAAAUUGUAACAAUGUACAUUCUCUGGCAUACCUCCUUGGAGAGUAUUAAAGGAGUAAUAGUUAUUAAUUAUGACUUUGAUAAAGGCAUGAAAGUUUUUAGUGUCUUUACUUUGGCUUGAUUUCUAAAUUUAUAAUUCAGUGUCCCACAUUUAUUUACCAAUGAGAUAGAACUAAAAUAUUGACUCUGAGUAUCUUUUUCAAUCACAAUUCCAAACUUUAUCCUUCUCCUCUAAGGUUUUAUCUUAAUAUAUAUUGCUGGUUUUUUACAUGUUAAAAAAAAUCCAAGCCUGCUUAAUCAAGCUACUGCAAGCUUCAAAAACACUUAAGGAAUUUCUUGUUGUUUUGUUUUAAUUUCUUUCACUCGUCAAAGUCCCUCUCAGCCCUCUUGAUUUCCAUCUUUCAUUUCACCUACCAUAGUCUGUUCUUCUUUCUGUUGGCUUCACGUGGGCUCCAUUUCCAUUUUCUAAAGAAUGCCUGUUUGACUCAAAUAACUGCUUGAGCCUUACCAUUUAACUAUACUGGCUUCUCUUUUUGUUUAGGGGUUAUACCGAUUUUCUGUGGCUGUACUAUAUAAUGUUUUGUAACAUCCAUGUUGAGUUUAAGGAUUUUUAAUUUCCUCACUUCUGAUUUGAAGGUUGUUGAUUGAUUGUCUUCCUUAUUGUUUAUUUUUAUUACGAAUUCCCCCUUUCUAAAGUCUAGUAUGUCAGUGCAAGUCAUUGACAUGAUUCCUGUCCCAAAAAUGUUGAACCGAAUUAUAUUUUAGUAGGGUUGUCAAGCGAUUGAAAAAAAUAAUUGCAAUUAAUCGCACUGUGGAACAAUAAUAGAAUAUUAUUUAUUUAAAUAUUUUUGGAUGUUUUCUACAUUUUCAAAUAUAUUGAUUUCAAUUACAACACAGAAGACAAAGUGUUUAUAUUUAUUUUUGAUUACAAGUAUUUGCACUGUAAAAAAAAUAGUAUUUUUCAGUUCACCUAAUACAAGUACUGCAGUGCAGUCUCUUUAUCAUGAAAGUUGAACUAACAAAUGUAGAAUUAUGUACAACAAUAACUGCAGUCAAAAAUAAAACAAUGUAAAAUUUUAGAGCCUGGAAUUCCACUCAGUCCUACUUCUUGUUCAGCCAAUCGCUCAGACAAACAAGCUUGUUUAUAUUUGCAGGAGAUAAUGCUGCCCAUUUCUUGUUUACAGUGUCUCCUGAAAGUGAGAACAGGGGUUCUCAUGGCACUGUUGUGGCCGGCGUCGCAAGAUAUUUAUGUGCCAGAUGCGCUAAAGAUUCAUCUAUCCCCUCAUGCUUCAACCACCAUUCCAAACAAUCCAAAGCAGUGCAGGUCAAUACCCGUUCAUUUUCAGUAUCUGAGUCAGAUGCCACCAGCAGAAGGUUGAUUUUCUUUUUUGGUGGUUUGGGUUCUGUAGUUUCCUCAUUGGAGUGUUGCUCUUUUAACACUUCUGAAAGCAUGCUCCACACCUCGUCCCUCUCAGAUUUUGGAAGGCAAUUCAGAUUCUUAAACCUUGCGUUGAGUGCUGUAUCUAUCUUAAGAAAUCUCACAUUGGUACCUUCUUUGCGUUUUGUCAGAUCUGCAGUGAAAGUGUUCUUAAAAUGAACAUGUGCUGGGUCAUCAUCUGAGGCUGCUAUAACAGGAAAUAUAUGGCAGAAUGUAUGUGAAACAGAGCAGGAGACAUACAAUUCUCCCCCAAGGAGUUCAGUCACAAAUUUAAUUAACGCAUUAUUUUUUUAAACAAGCGUCAUCAGCAUGAAAGCAUGUCCUCUGGAAUGGUGGCCGAAGCAUGAAGAGGCAUACGAAUGUUUAGCAUAACAGGUACGUAAAUACCUUGCAAUGCCAGCUACAAAAGUGCCAUGCAAAUGCCUGUUCUCAUUUUCUGGUGUCAUUGCAAGUAAGAAGUGGGCAGCAUUAUCUCCUGUAAAUGUAAACAAACUUGUUUGUCUCAGCGAUUGGCUGAACAAGAAGUAGGACUGAAUGGACUUGUAGGUUCUAAAGUUUUACAUUGUUUUGGUUUUGAGUGCAGUUAUGUUACAAAAAAAAAUCUACAUUUUUUAAGGUGCACUUUCAUGACAAAGAUUGCACUCCAGUACUUGUAUGAGGUGAAUUGAAAAAUACUAUUUCUUUUGUUUAUCAUUUUUACAGUGCAAAUAUUUAAAUCAUAUGCAUUUUGAUUUAAAUUACAACACAAAAUAUGUAUGAAAAUGUAGAAAAACAUCCAAAAUAUUUAAUAAAUUUCAAUUGGUAUUCUAUUGUUUAACAGUGCGAAUAAAACUGUGAUUAAUUUUUUAAUUGCAUUUAAUUUUUUUUGAGUUAAUUGCGUGAGUUAACUGAUUAAUCGACAACCCUAUAUUUUAGUCAUUAUUACUUAGUGACUCAACUAUAGUUCUUCAUGAACCAAUUCCCAUGUGUUACUUAAGGUUUAUCUACACUGUAAUUAAAAACCCAUCCCCGUGCCAGCUGACUCUGGCUUGCAGGGCCUGAGCUAAGGGAUUGUUUAAUUGCGGUGUAGACAUUCAGGUUUGAAAGCCCAGGCUCUGGGACCACCUUUCAUUUUGCUGUGACACUGGGAGCUCGGUAUGGCUCGAAAACAUGUCUCUUUCACCAACAGAAAUUGGUGUAAUAAAAGAGAUUUCCUCACCCACCUUGUCUCUGUUACCCUGAGGUCCUCUUGCUUUGUUAAGCUUUCUGCUUCACCAUCUUUGCUUUUACAUGUCUGUCACUGGUUCAUGGAUAUUGGAGGGUGGUUUUUUUGGCAGGGGGUGGGGCUUAUAUUUUGGCUUUCUGCCUCUUUUAAUGUAACUCCUUUGCCUGACUCUUUGUUACUCUUCCAGCAUGUCUCUUUGAAAUAAUUAAACCUCUAAAAAGAACCUGAAAUAGAACAUCACUAUAUAAAAAUGUCACAAGCUUUAAACCUCUUAUCUUGGGCCUUACCUGGGCUACAGGCAAGUGAUGGGUCCUGUUGGGAAGCUAGGAAUCUGCCCUUGCCAGAGCUCCUAUUACAAGGCCAAACAACACUGAAUUUUACAGUCUUAUCACUUUUAUGUGUAGAAAACUGUGACUGGCAAGAGGAUGAAUCUGGCUUUCCCUGGGCCUCAGGAAGGUGUGAUUGGGGAGGGGAAAAGAAAAAACUUCUCUUUAUAUAUUACAUGUCCUGUGUGUGUCAAUCCCAACAUAUUAAUUUCAUCCUUAGGUCUCUCUGUUGAGACUUCUAAUAAGAUUGUCAGUUAUGGUGAAUGUUGUAACCAAAUUCAGUUCCUAAUGUGCAACUCCUCUCAAGAAGCUGCUAAAAAGGUUAUCAGAUGGUGGACAUAAUAUGUGGUGAUCACCUUCUAGAACACUACCAGACCCUGAGGGAAAUCCGCCGAGCUAUAGGAGACGGUGCUAUGCAGG